GACGAACGUUGGCGGCGUGCUUAACACAUGCAAGUCGAACGGAAAGGCCCUGCUUUUGUGGGGUGCUCGAGUGGCGAACGGUUGAGUAACACGUGAGUAACCUGCCCUUGACUUUGGGAUAACUUCAGGAAACUGGGGCUAAUACCGGAUAGGAGCUCCUGCUGCAUGGUGGGGGUUGGAAAGUUUCGGCGGUUGGGGAUGGACUCGCGGCUUAUCAGCUUGUUGGUGGGGUAGUGGCUUACCAAGGCUUUGACGGGUAGCCGGCCUGAGAGGGUGACCGGCCACAUUGGGACUGAGAUACGGCCCAGACUCCUACGGGAGGCAGCAGUGGGGAAUAUUGCACAAUGGGCGGAAGCCUGAUGCAGCAACGCCGCGUGCGGGAUGACGGCCUUCGGGUUGUAAACCGCUUCCGCCUGUGACGAAGCGUGAGUGACGGUAAUGGGUAAAGAAGCACCGGCUAACUACGUGCCAGCAGCCGCGGUGAUACGUAGGGUGCGAGCGUUGUCCGGAUUUAUUGGGCGUAAAGGGCUCGUAGGUGGUUGAUCGCGUCGGAAGUGUAAUCUUGGGGCUUAACCCUGAGCGUGCUUUCGAUACGGGUUGACUUGAGGAAGGUAGGGGAGAAUGGAAUUCCUGGUGGAGCGGUGGAAUGCGCAGAUAUCAGGAGGAACACCAGUGGCGAAGGCGGUUCUCUGGGCCUUUCCUGACGCUGAGGAGCGAAAGCGUGGGGAGCGAACAGGCUUAGAUACCCUGGUAGUCAACGCUGUAAACGGUGGGUACUAGGUGUGGGGUCCAUUCCACGGGUUCCGUGCCGUAGCUAACGCUUUAAGUACCCCGCCUGGGGAGUACGGCCGCAAGGCUAAAACUCAAAGGAAUUGACGGGGCCCCGCACAAGCGGCGGAGCAUGCGGAUUAAUUCGAUGCAACGCUUAGAACCUUACCUGGGUUUGACAUGGAUCGGGAGUGCUCAGAGAUGGGUGUGCCUCUUUUGGGGUCGGUUCACAGGUGGUGCAUGCCUGUCGUCAGCUCGUGUCGUGAGAUGUUGGGUUAAGUCCCGCAACGAGCGCAACCCUUGUUCACUGUUGCCAGCACGUUAUGGUGGGGACUCAGUGGAGACCGCCGGGGUCAACUCGGAGGAGGGUGGGGAUGACGUCAAGUCCUCAUGCCCCUUAUGUCCAGGGCUUCACGCAUGCUACAAUGGCUGGUACAGAGAGUGGCGAGCCUGUGAGGGUGAGCGAAUCUCGGAAAGCCGGUCUCAGUUCGGAUUGGGGUCUGCAACUCGACCUCAUGAAGUCGGAGUCGCUAGUAAUCGCAGAUCAGCAACGCUGCGGUGGAUACGUUCCCGGG
rnacentral:rRNA from 1 species